GGGCGCUUACCACUUUGUGAUUCAUGACUGGGGUGAAGUCGUAACAAGGUAACCGUAGGGGAACCUGCGGUUGGAUCACCUCCUUACCUGAAAGAA
rnacentral:rRNA from 2 species